UGCACACCAGUCCGAGAGCCUUUUUUUCUUUCUUUCUUUCUUUCUUUUUUUUAAACCGUGACUUUAUUCAGGUUUCUCGUUGUUGAUUUUCAGGACGUUGGUGCUGCUGCUUGUGAUGUGUGCUGGCUGUCAUCCAGCACCUCUGGAAAGCACCAGAAAGGCUCCCAUCGACUUCAGUUAUGGAAGCAACCUUUUUCUCUAUGUGGAGAGACUUUGAGGCUGCACUCCUGGUAAUCCCCUUUGACUGCAGUGUAUUUUGUGCAUCUCCAGUCCUGCUGCUCCCUGGCACCUGGAAGGGGAAGAACAGGUAUGGGAAGGUAAAGACCAGAACCAUACAAGAAUGCUGUUGGUAA
rnacentral:lncRNA from 1 species